rnacentral:rRNA from 1 species
GGAGGCAGCAGUAGGGAAUCUUCCGCAAUGGGCGAAAGCCUGACUGAGCAACGCCGCGUGAGUGAUGAAGGGUUUCGGCUCGUAAAACUCUGUUAUUAGGGAAGAACAUAUGUGUAAGUAACUGUGCACAUCUUGACGGUACCUAAUCAGAAAGCCACGGCUAACUACGUGCCAGCAGCCGCGGUAAUACGUAGGUGGCAAGCGUUAUCCGGAAUUAUUGGGCGUAAAGCGCGCGUAGGCGGUUUCUUAAGUCUGAUGUGAAAGCCCACGGCUCAACCGUGGAGGGUCAUUGGAAACUGGGAAACUUGAGUGCAGAAGAGGAAAGUGGAAUUCCAUGUGUAGCGGUGAAAUGCGCAGAGAUAUGGAGGAACACCAGUGGCGAAGGCGACUUUCUGGUCUGUAACUGACGCUGAUGUGCGAAAGCGUGGGGAUCAAACAGGAUUAGAUACCCUGGUAGUCCACGCCGUAAACGAUGAGUGCUAAGUGUUAGGGGGUUUCCGCCCCUUAGUGCUGCAGCUAACGCAUAAGC